GGCGUGCUUAACACAUGCAAGUCGAACGGAAAGGCUCACAUGCUUGCWGGGGUACUCGAGUGGCGAACGGGUGAGUAACACGUGGGUGAUCUGCCCUGCACUUCGGGAUAAGCCUGGGAAACUGGGUCUAAUACCGGAUAGGACSAUGGUUUGGAUGCCRUUGUGGAAAGUUUUUUCGGUGUGGGAUGAGCUCGCGGCCUAUCAGCUUGUUGGUGGGGUAAUGGCCUACCAAGGCGUCGACGGGUAGCCGGCCUGAGAGGGUGUACGGCCACAUUGGGACUGAGAUACGGCCCAGACUCCUACGGGAGGCAGCAGUGGGGAAUAUUGCACAWUGGGCGCARGCCUGAUGCAGCGACGCCGCGUGGGGGAUGACGGCCUUCGGGUUGUAAACUCCUUUCGCUAGGGACGAAGCGUUUUGUGACGGUACCUGGAGAAGAAGCACCGGCUAACUACGUGCCAGCAGCCGCGGUAAUACGUAGGGUGCGAGCGUUGUCCGGAAUUACUGGGCGUAAAGAGCUCGUAGGUGGUUUGUCGCGUCGUUUGUGUAAGCCCGCAGCUUAACUGCGGGACUGCAGGCGAUACGGGCAUAACUUGAGUGCUGUAGGGGAGACUGGAAUUCCUGGUGUAGCGGUGGAAUGCGCAGAUAUCAGGAGGAACACCGAUGGCGAAGGCAGGUCUCUGGGCAGUAACUGACGCUGAGGAGCGAAAGCAUGGGU
rnacentral:rRNA from 1 species